rnacentral:lncRNA from 1 species
UGUAUGCAGGUCCAUACUAGCAUGAACCUUACCACUCAGCCACAGAGGCCUUCACGGUCCUGUAUGCAGGUCCAUACUAGCAUGAACCUUAUCACUCAGCCACAGAGGCCUUCACAGUCCUGUAUGCAGGUCCAUACUAGCAUGAACCUUAUCACUCAGCCACAGAGGCCUUCACAGUCCUGUAUGCAGGUCCAUACUAGCAUGAACCUUAUCACUCAGCCACAGAGGCCUUCACGGUCCUGUAUGCAGGUCCAUACUAGCAUGAACCUUAUCACUCAGCCACAGAGGCCUU